rnacentral:misc_RNA from 1 species
CUGCAAUGUGCAUUACCUGCAAAAGCACAAGACAACUGAUUAAGAAAAACUACAAGAAUCCAGUAAUUUAACAAGGAAAAUGCACAUAACAUUUCACAUGGAUAGUUUGCAACUGAAUCAUAGUAGGUUCUAUAUUCUUAUUGAAACUAUCAACAAAUAAGAUUUAUGAAUCCACUGCUAGUUAUAAAGUAAGUCACACUAACAGUUGGGAAGGUAUCAUUAGAA